CCGGUUCCCAGGGUCUUCGCCUCCUCUGGCCUCUGAAGGGCCCCGGGCCCCAGGACUCCCAUUCCCCUAUCAUCCCCGUCUGAAUACAGGCUUCUCACCUCUGGUUUGUCGAGCUCGGGAGCGUCCUUAGCUGUUUUUCCCAGUGGACACAAGGCCUCACAGAGAAAUGGGACUAGAGUCGGCCCUCCUUACCUCAUCUCAGAGCUGAGCGUUCCCUCUCUUCCCCUCUGGCCAGGUCAUACACGGGAUCUCUGUGGCAGGAAGGGGCUGGCUGGAUCCCUCUGCCCCGACCCGGCCUGGACUUGCAGGCCAUUGAGCUGGCUGCCCAGAGCAACCAUCACUGCCAUGCUCAGAAGGGUCCUGACAGUCACUGUGACCCCAAGAAGGGGAAGGCCCAGCGCCAGCUGUAUGUAGCCUCUGCCAUCUGCCUGUUGUUCAUGAUCGGAGAAGUCGUUGGUGGGUACCUGGCACACAGCUUGGCUGUCAUGACUGACGCAGCGCACCUGCUCACUGACUUUGCCAGCAUGCUCAUCAGCCUCUUCUCCCUCUGGAUGUCCUCCCGGCCAGCCACCAAGACCAUGAACUUUGGCUGGCAGAGAGCUGAGAUCUUGGGAGCCCUGGUCUCUGUACUGUCCAUCUGGGUCGUGACUGGGGUACUGGUGUACCUGGCUGUGGAGCGGCUGAUCUCUGGGGACUAUGAAAUUGACGGGGGGACC
rnacentral:sRNA from 1 species